CUGAGACCCACUCGAAGGCUUGAUGAAUUUCUUUGCACUUGUGUAUCUGGUUUGACUUUGGCACCUUCCUUCAGACCUGAUGUUUGGUAUUCCUACUCCAGAUCUACACACCAUAAUUUCAUGUGUUUCUGAUCAGAGCUGCCAUUCAUUAACUUUGCCAGAAGGAACAGCCAGUAUCAUACCACCACAUUUCACCAAGUUGCCUAAAGCUGUCCACAAGCAAAAGUCCCAAGAGUAUCUAGACACCAAGUGAUAUGCUGCAUACGUUCAUAAAUGGCAAUUCUCCCAUGGCAUAUCAAAGAAAGGUAGAUGCCAGAAGAGAGAUUCUUGAUUAUCAGAUCAGAAAACUUAAAUAUUGUAGGACACAUGAGAGACUUCAAGUUGGAAUGACAUAGCAGCAGGACUCAUCACUUAUACCAGAAGGCAUCCUAAUCUGCACCUGAAGAAGUGAUCUGGAUUCUAACCAGAGAUUUGAAUAUAAGAAGACUGCAAAGAAAACGGGGUUGUGGGUGGAAGGAAAGAAGAUCUUUUGAAAAUAUCUAGAGGAUUUAAUUUAUUUUGAAAGAAGUGAUUGAAUUGAUAGAAGGGGGUAGUAGUUUUAAAUGUUAAAGCGUGAACUAUACUUGAUAUUUUACAUUAAUGUCAUAUGCUAUUUUGUUUUGGUGUUACUCUUUAGAGUACAAAAUGUAUAAACUUUCUACUGAGCUUGCUUGGAUGAGAUUGUAUUGUUAAAUAUAAGGCGAAAUAUUAAUAUCAAAAUUAAUAUUUUAUGUUGAUGUUAUUGUACUAACUAUAAUAAUAUUCAUAUUCUAAACAACGUAUACUUGGAUGAGAUUUGUGGGAAGGGAGAAUUAUUUAUAUGGUUAGAUGUAAGAGGGUAAUAAUUGUAGCAUUUUAAGGUGAUGCUGUUAUUUACAGUGUAAUGAUGCUUGUUAAAUGUAUUUACAUUAUCAUUUAAUAUUGGUAGAUUGACAGGGGGAUAUAUUUAGUACCUAUACCAGUAUCUGUUAAUAGAAAACAUAUACAAAAUACUUAUUGAUUGAAUUAAUGAUUAACAAAUUAUUAUUAUUAUUUCUUUAGGUACAGGGUUUUCCUCUAUCAGCAAUGUAAUGGCACAAUCAUAGCUCACUACCUCCUUAAGCUCCUGGGAUCAAGCAAUCUUCCUGCCCUAACCACCUGAGUACUUUGGACAACAGGUGUGUGCUACUAGGCCUGGUUGAUUUUUUCUUAUUUUUUUAGUGACCAAGUCUCACUAUGUUGCCUAGGCUAUAUAAACUCCUGGCCUGAAGGCAUCCUCUGCCUCAGCCUCCUGAGUUACUGAAAUUACAAGCAUGAUCUGCUGUGCCCGGAUCAAUUGAUUGAUUAUUUAUCUGAUAUUUCCUUUCUGCUUAUUCAUGGAAAGCCAAUUAGAGUUUUCCAUAUAAGUGAUAGGAAUUUGGGGGGAAAUUUGGGUGUAUAGGAUAUGAAAUUCGGAACUGUGAAUCAGAGAGAAACCUAUAUUAAAAUAUAAUAAUUUGAUAGAAGCCAAGAAAAGACUGGUAGGACAUGAAAGGUCACACUGCAGUUUGGUGGCCAUUUUUCUUGAAGCUCAGUGGUUUGGGACCAGAGAUAGCUUCUGCAGUCGCAAGCGACAGGCAGUGGCUUGGUUGGCAGCAAGUACUUGCAGCAUUCACUCGUAGUUACCAUGAAUUUACCCCUCAAUCUCAAACCUUUCCUCAAUGGAUUGACAGGAAAACCUGUACCAACAAGUAACCUCUCCCUGUCUUGACAGAUUUCCACAUAGUACUCUAUGAAUAGAGAUCUUGAAUGGCCUCCUUCUAUCAGGGCCAGGUCUGGGAGUGUGUACAAAACACUUCCAGAUGUCACUCCUCACAGACACCCGACUACUCUUUACUUCAUAUACAGUCUUUGAGAAGGUCAAGAGCUCCCCCAUGGCCUAGAUUGCCCAGAUUUCUAGUGGGAAUGUGUAUUACAGAGACAGUUUCUCCCUUUUUUCACUUUGAAUCCUCACAGUUUUCCUGCACUGGGGACUAUUGCCAGCUGUAUUAUGAACAUAUCUAAAGUUUCUUUCACAUUUUCGUUGAGCUUCCAAGUUCCUUCUUGGAUACGUGUUCAGAGUGUGAAUCUCUAUACACUAUUUUGUUAUUUCUGAAUGGAUCAGGCACACUAACCUUCUAACCCACCAUAUUGUAAAAAGAAAAGUAAUUGUACUAUAUUUUAAAAUCAGGUAGUGUGAUGUCUUCAGAUUUAUUCAUUUUGCUAAGGAUUACUUGAUUAUUUGGGCUUUUUCAAGGAUUUAUACAAAUUUUAGGAUUGUUGUUUUAUUCCUGUGAAGAUUGUCAAAUAUUGUCAAAUAUAUAUAUGUUUGACAUUGCA